rnacentral:piRNA from 1 species
UGCUGAAGAUGCCCAGGGAGCUGAUGC